UUUCAAAUUUGUGGAGGCAAAUAACCCGCCACUAAACAAAGCCCCCCGCCCAAAUUGAUAACUACUUUGAAAAAUCCCUCCCAAUUUCCUUCCUUUUAACUAGAGUUUCAAAGGAGAAGUCCAAGGAACUGUUCCAGUUGAGGGAAGCAAAGUCCUGGCAAACACUGAGAAAUUCAUGAGCUUAUGGCGCCCGAAGCUUUUAAAGGAAAUUGUUCAGGAAUUCUAGUUAUUUGAUGAAGCGAGCUUAAGAUUUAGUCCCACACGGACUCUUUGCAUCCGAGGAUUGGAAACGAGACAGUAUAAAAGGGGGAGUUCAAGAAGAGAAUGAUCAUACCUUUCCUGGCGCACCCCCACCAAAUCUGAAACUAAACAUUUGUUGCACCCAGGUUUAGGUGCAGGCUGGUGAAAAUGUGUGUAUAUCAACAAAUAAAAUGUUUCCUAGAGCCUCUGCAGGAUGUGAGUUUAAAAUGGAAGAG